GAAGAGGCACAUGUUGGGAAGAAGAAUAUCCUUUGGUGGUAAAAAAAGCUAGGUGUUCUAGGAGACUUUUAAUCUCCGCGUUUACAAGGAUACAACUUAUACCAGGAUCUCUAUGGAUAAAGUAUGCUCACGAUAAACAAGUACCUCUACAAAAGAAGAUCAAACAAUGGAAUACAAGCUUUAUAAUUUUAAACAUAAUUUAUGGAGUGCAAUAGAAGUCUUCCAGGCAUAACUUGAUCAAGGAAGAAAUAGUCAC
rnacentral:lncRNA from 1 species